rnacentral:rRNA from 1 species
UACGUAGGGUGCAAGCGUUGUCCGGAUUUAUUGGGCGUAAAGAGCGUGUAGGCGGCCAUGUAGGUCCGUUGUGAAAACUCGAGGCUCAACCUCGAGACGCCGAUGGAAACCAUGUGGCUAGAGUCCGGAAGAGGAGAGUGGAAUUCCUGGUGUAGCGGUGAAAUGCGCAGAUAUCGGGAAGAACACCCGUGGCGAAGGCGGUUCUCUGGGACGGUACUGACGCUGAGACGCGAAAGCGUGGGGAGCGAACAGG